rnacentral:rRNA from 1 species
ACUCAAAGGAAUAGACGGGGGCCCGCACAAGCGGUGGAGCAUGUGGUUCAAUUCGACGCAACGCGAAGAACCUUACCUGGGUUAGACAACGGUGGACAGCCCCAGAAAUGGGGUCUUCCCUUCGGGGACUGCCGGUUCAGGUGCUGCAUGGCUGUCGUCAGCUCGUGCCGUGAGGUGUUGGGUUAAGUCCCGCAACGAGCGCAACCCUCGCCCUUAGUUGCCAUCAUUAAGUUGGGCACUCUAGGGGGACUGCCGGCGUUAAGCCGGAGGAAGGCGGGGACGACGUCAAGUCAUCAUGGCCCUUAUAUCCAGGGCUACACACGUGCUACAAUGGACGGUACAAAGGGCUGCAAACCCGCGAGGGGGAGCCAAUCCCAAAAAGCCGUUCUCAGUUCGGAUUGGAGUCUGCAACUCGACUCCAUGAAGGCGGAAUCGCUAGUAAUCGCGGAUCAGCACGCCGCGGUGAAUACGUUCCCGGGCCUUGCACACACCGCCCGU